GGUUUUCGUUUCGUUUAUUGUUUUGUUGUGUUUAUUCGUGUUUACGUUGUGUGAUUAAACAUGGAUCGCAAUAUACACGCUGCAGUUUGGUCCGACUCUCCUUCACCACAUGAAAUCCGUGACACUAUUGAAGAUAGAAAUCUGGAAUCUUCAUUUUUUUUUUACAAUUGAAAAAGGUGUGGAUCAAUCUCCAUUCUCCCUUGAUUCAGAAGAUACCAUUUUCAGUCAUAGCAUGCUUGGUUCAACAGCUAUUGAUGAGAGCCACCGAAUAUCCAGUAUACUUUUUUUGUACCUCGGUUCAUUGCGUCUUCAUAGAGACCAAUAAAUUCCCCCACCAAAAAAACAUCACGUUUACUCUUCAUGCAGGGCAUGUGGACAUGUACUUGCAUAACGAUCAGUUAUAUAUUCCCUAAACAAGUUCAUAUAACUGUUACCAAUUGUGAAUACGCACCACAACUUCUAUAGGCUGUAGAAACAGAUUGCGUGGCAAUAUGUUGAAGAAGAUUCAAAGGGCGACCAAGCGCGAGUUCUGACUGCUCAGCAAAAUGACAAAUUAAAACGAUUUGAUUGA